rnacentral:rRNA from 1 species
AGUGGGGAAUAUUGGGCAAUGGGCGGAAGCCUGACCCAGCAACGCCGCGUGGAGGAUGACGCAUUUCGGUGUGUAAACUCCUUUUAUUAGGGAAGAUAAUGACGGUACCUAAUGAAUAAGCACCGGCUAACUCCGUGCCAGCAGCCGCGGUAAUACGGAGGGUGCAAGCGUUACUCGGAAUCACUGGGCGUAAAGCGCGCGCAGGCGGACUAAUAAGCUAGAAGUGAAAUGCUGUGGCUCAACCAUAGAACUGCUUCUAGAACUGUUAGUCUAGAGUCUGGGAGGGGAAGAUGGAAUUAGUUGUGUAGGGGUAAAAUCCGUAGAGAUAACUAGGAAUACCAAAAGCGAAGGCGAUCUUCUGGAACAGUACUGACGCUGAGGCGCGAAAGCGUGGGGAGCAAACAGGAUUAGAUACCCUGGUAGUCCACGCCCUAAACGAUGAAUGUUAGUCGUUGGAGUGCUAGUCACUUCAGUGAUGCAGUUAACACAUUAAACAUUCCGCCUGGGGAGUACGGUCGCAAGAUUAAAACUCAAAGGAAUAGACGGGGACCCGCACAAGUGGUGGAGCAUGUGGUUUAAUUCGAAGAUACGCGAAGAACCUUACCUAGCCUUGACAUUGAUGGAAUCUUUCAGAGAUGGAGGAGUGCCCUUUUUAGGGAGCCUGAAAACAGGUGCUGCACGGCUGUCGUCAGCUCGUGUCGUGAGAUGUUGGGUUAAGUCCCGCAACGAGCGCAACCCUCGUGACUAGUUACUAACGGUUAGGCCGAGGACUCUAGUCAGACUGCCUUCGCAAGGAGGAGGAAGGUGAGGACGACGUCAAGUCAUCAUGGCCCUUACGGCUAGGGCGACACACGUGCUACAAUGGGUAGGACAGUAAGAAGCGAUACCGCGAGGUGGAGCAAAUCUAUAAACCUACUCUCAGUUCGGAUUGUAGUCUGCAACUCGACUACAUGAAGCUGGAAUCACUAGUAAUCGUAGAUCAGCCAUGCUACGGUGAAUACGU